rnacentral:rRNA from 1 species
GUAGGGAAUAUUGGGCAAUGGAGGCAACUCUGACCCAGCCAUGCCGCGUGCAGGAUGACGGCCCUCUGGGUUGUAAACUGCUUUUAUACGGGAAGAAAAAAUACUACGUGUAGUAUACUGACGGUACCGUAAGAAUAAGGAUCGGCUAACUCCGUGCCAGCAGCCGCGGUAAUACGGAGGAUCCAAGCGUUGUCCGGAUUUAUUGGGUUUAAAGGGUGCGUAGGCGGAUCUUUAAGUCAGUGUUGAAAGCCUGCAGCUUAACUGUAGAAUUGCCAUUGAAACUGAAGAUCUUGAAUGUGGUUAAAGUAGGCGGAAUGUAUCAUGUAGCGGUGAAAUGCUUAGAUAUGAUACAGAACACCGAUAGCGAAGGCAGCUUGCUGAACCAUUAUUGACGCUGAGGCACGAAAGCGUGGGGAGCGAACAGGAUUAGAUACCCGAGUAGUCC